rnacentral:rRNA from 1 species
UUUGUGGUUCAUGACUGGGGUGAAGUCGUAACAAGGUAGCGCUAGGGGAACCUGGCGCUGGAUCACCUCCUUAAACGAUGAU